UACUCGAGUGGCGAACGGGUGAGUAACACGUGGGUGAUCUGCCCUGCACUUCGGGAUAAGCCUGGGAAACUGGGUCUAAUACCGGAUAGGACCACAUUUUGGAUGGUGUGGUGGAAAGUUUUUCGGUGUGGGAUGAGCUCGCGGCCUAUCAGCUUGUUGGUGGGGUAAUGGCCUACCAAGGCGUCGACGGGUAGCCGGCCUGAGAGGGCGUACGGCCACAUUGGGACUGAGAUACGGCCCAG
rnacentral:rRNA from 1 species